UACGUAGGCAGCAAGCGUUGUUCGGAGUUACUGGGCGUAAAGGGUGUGUAGGCGGUUCGCUAAGUUUGGUGUGAAAUCUCCCGGCUUAACUGGGAGGGUGCGCCGAAAACUGGCGAGCUCGAGUGCGGGAGAGGGAAGCGGAAUUCCUGGUGUAGCGGUGAAAUGCGUAGAUAUCAGGAGGAACACCUGCGGUGCAGACGGCUUCCUGGACCGCCACUGACGCUGAAACACGAAAGCGUGGGUAGCAAACAGG
rnacentral:rRNA from 1 species